CGCCGUAAACGAUGUCGACUUGGAGGUUGUGCCCUUGAGGCGUGGCUUCCGGAGCUAACGCGUUAAGUCGACCGCCUGGGGAGUACGGCCGCAAGGUUAAAACUCAAAUGAAUUGACGGGGGCCCGCACAAGCGGUGGAGCAUGUGGUUUAAUUCGAUGCAACGCGAAGAACCUUACCUGGUCUUGACAUCCACGGAAGUUUUCAGAGAUGAGAAUGUGCCUUCGGGAACCGUGAGACAGGUGCUGCAUGGCUGUCGUCAGCUCGUGUUGUGAAAUGUUGGGUUAAGUCCCGCAACGAGCGCAACCCUUAUCCUUUGUUGCCAGCGGUCCGGCCGGGAACUCAAAGGAGACUGCCAGUGAUAAACUGGAGGAAGGUGGGGAUGACGUCAAGUCAUCAUGGCCCUUACGACCAGGGCUACACACGUGCUACAAUGGCGCAUACAAAGAGAAGCGACCUCGCGAGAGCAAGCGGACCUCAUAAAGUGCGUCGUAGUCCGGAUUGGAGUCUGCAACUCGACUCCAUGAAGUCGGAAUCGCUAGUAAUCGUGGAUCAGAAUGCCACGGUGAAUACGUUCCCGGGCCUUGUACACACCGCCCGUCACACCAUGGGAGUGGGUUGCAAAAGAAGUAGGUAGCUUAACCUUCGGGAGGGCGCUUACCACUUUGUGAUUCAUGACUGGGGUGAAGUCGUAACAAGGUAACCGUAGGGGAACCUGCGGUUGGAUCAC
rnacentral:rRNA from 1 species